rnacentral:rRNA from 1 species
UACGUAGGGGGCAAGCGUUGUCCGGAUUUAUUGGGCGUAAAGAGCGUGUAGGCGGCUUGACAGGUCUGCUGUGAAAACUCGAGGCUCAACCUCGAGAUGUCGGCGGAAACCGUCUGGCUAGAGUCCGGAAGAGGAGAGUGGAAUUCCUGGUGUAGCGGUGAAAUGCGCAGAUAUCAGGAAGAACACCUAUGGCGAAGGCAGCUCUCUGGGUCCCUACCGACGCUGGGGUGCGAAAGCAUGGGGAGCGAAUAGG